rnacentral:sRNA from 1 species
AAGGAGACCUAGUACAUAGCAAGUGCCAAAUAAACAUUGAGUGGCAAAAAAGAGGGAAAGCAACGUAAGUCAUCCUAAGAGAGCACACAGAGCAGGAGGGGUAGAAACCAGCCCCGGGGAGGGCAAGGUCCCCGCUGGCGAGGUCGCUGACGGGGUGAACAGGGAUGGCAGGACACGGGAAAGCGCAGGCUCCGGGAAGGGGGACGCCAGGGCCCCAUGGCUGCAGGCAAACCUUGGGCCUGGCUUGGGAGUGGAAGUUCCGGCAGCAUCUUGCUUGGCCCUCUUUGCACAUUUGCCCCGUGUGGUUCCUGCGGGCCAGGGUGGGCGCGGCACUCCCUGCACCCGACACAAGCGUUCUCUCGGCAGGUAUGGGCAAGAAGGAUGACCCCAAGCUGAUGCAGGAGUGGUUCAAGCUAGUGCAGGAGAAGAACGCCAUGGUGCGCUACGAGUCGGAGCUGAUGAUCUUUGCCCGGGAGCUGGAGCUGGAAGACCGGCAGAGCCGACUGCAGCAGGAGCUCCGGGAACGCAUGGCAGUGGAAGAUCACCUUAAGACUGAGGAGGAGCUGUCAGAAGAGAAGCAGAUUCUCAAUGAGAUGCUGGAGGUGGUGGAGCAGAGAGACUCACUGGUGGCGCUGCUGGAGGAGCAGCGGCUCCGGGAGAGAGAGGAGGACAAGGACCUGGAGGCUGCCAUGCUGUCCAAGGGCUUCAGCCUUAACUGGUCCUGAGCUCCCACCCAACGCCCCAUUUUCUGUUGGCAUCCGCCUGGCCGGGCAGUGGCCUCCAAACCACCUGGAGCCGCGAUCUGAGGAGGCCUGGCACCUCCUUGGAGUUUACGCUCAGAUGCCCGUGUGCUGCUUGGAAAGUGGUCGAGUCCCACCUGCAGUGGGGAGCCCCAGGUGACAGUGGUUAUCUGAGAC